CGGCGCCUUUGUGCCGUCCCCGUCACGCCGUUGUCCUGCCGCCGCGAGUGGAGGCGGGUCCCUGGUGGCGACAAUGGCGAGCAGGAGGACGGGCAUGCCUCCAGCCCGAGCACGGAUUCCCUGUUGCCGUCUACCCACCCGUCCACAGCCGUCCUCCACCGCAAUGGAUGCCCCUAUUCGCCGCCGCAAAAAGGGUCCCCAUCCGCCCGCGCGAGGAGGCCGGUCUGCUGCGCGCCGCCAUCCACAUGCGCCAAGUCCACCGUUGUUCACGCCUCCCCCAAGCCGCCGCGGUCUUAUCGCGCCCGCCGCCACCUUCCCUAGGCGUUCCAACGCGCCUCCCACCGCAGCUUCAAAUGCCUCUGCCUCCUUCUACCUCCACCACUCACGACCCUGCUGCCAACGGACGAGCUGAAGUAGGUGGCUGGGAGGAGGGUGCGCGCCCGGAGCCGGCGAUCGAGCUGUGGGUGCUCCACCCCAAUAGCCUCGGUCUGGUCGGCAGACCUUCGGUGGCAUGUGAACUGCAGGAACAAGGAUCCACGCGAACCAACUCCAGCCAGCAAUAGGUCGGUGUUACCCCCUCCGGCCCUCCCCCGCUCGAACGGGAUCCACGUGGACCCAUCUCUGGUAACAAAUCGGCAACGCGCCCAUCGCCCCCAUCCAUGAUCCAUCCAUCCAUCCAUCCAUCCAUCCAUCCAUCAGGGCGCUUCCACUUCUCUGCCUGUAAGUUCGUGAACUCCCUGCAACCCUACGUCAACAUCGACAACACAGAUGCAUCUUGGUCAACCCCGAGGACAUUCUUGCAAUACCUAACAGUUUGUUUUGUUGAAAGGAGUGGAUUGAGAAGGUGAGAAAUAGCCGGCACUUGCCCAGGCACCUGCAACUGUGAUGGUGCAGGGAGGAUUGUGGGGGCGUGCCAAUGCAGGUCUACUCUCCUUAGCAACUGAAUGUUUGGUUCGAUGUUCCUACUACCAUGUGUGUGUUUCUUUCUUGCCUCUUUAUUAUGAAGUUUGCUGUUACUGUAUGAAAUAUGAGACAACUCAGAUAUGGAUUGCAAUAUAUUGAUUGAUUGGGCCUCAAACGAUGCAUGUAGAGAGUAGUUUUUUUUGUAUCAUGUCACAUUAGCAUGCCGCUGUUGCACAUCAUCUCAAAUGCAUACUGUCCUUUUAUCCUGCUGUAAGCCUGUAACUGAUACUCCUAUGUAUUUGACUCCAUCUGAACUUAUGUGUUAUACGAUUGCUUCAUGUAUUCUUUUGGCUUAUAGAAAAGAGGUUGCCCUUUGCAUUAUAUAUCUGCUUUUUGCUUCAUGUUACUUAUAGACAAUAUGCAAAAAAGUUGAUAUGGUUGAAGAGCCUAUGGGUAUAACAGGCUGGUAGUAACCAUAUUCUCAACCAUGCAUGUAGGACUCCAUAAAGAAACUGAUGCCGGGAUGCCUAGAGCAUUAUGUGUUUUUAGAUUGAAAGCUUGCCACCAUGCUUUGAGAUGCUUCUAGAGAAUUACAAGAUUUCUAUAGGUGUUCAACUGAACCCCGCGUAGAUGCUUGUGGUAGUCAAUCUAUUGGGAGUCAUGGUGAGUUGUGGAAUGAUGCUUAUAAUAAUUCUCUGAUAUCAGGUUUGUUACUGAUAAGUGAUAGUUUUUUUUCUAUAUUUUUGCUGUAACAAUUGUUCAGAGUGGUCUCCUAACAAAUAUAAGUGUGUCAUGUAGGUUCA